rnacentral:rRNA from 1 species
GGGCUCAGGAUGAACGCGGGCGGCGUGCCUAAUACAUGCAAGUCGAACGAGGUGCUUUUGUAGCAAUACGAGAGUAUCCUAGUGGCGAACGGGUGAGUAACGCGUUGGUGACCUACCCCAAAGUGUGGGAUAACAGUCCGAAAGGAUUGCUAAUACCGCAUGUGGUCUUCGGAUUUAGAAACUGAUGACUAAAGGAGCAAUUCGCUUUGGGAGGGACCUGCGUCCCAUCAGCUAGUUGGUGAGGUAACGGCUCACCAAGGCGACGACGGGUAGGGGACCUGAGAGGGUGGCCCCCCACAAUGGAACUGAAACACGGUCCAUACACCUACGGGUGGCAGCAGUAGGGAAUAUUGCUCAAUGGGCGAAAGCCUGAAGCAGCAACGCCGCGUGUGCGAUGAAGGCCUUCGGGUCGUAAAGCACUUUUCUGCGAGAUGAGAAAGGACAGUAUCGUAGGAAUAAGUCUCGGCUAACUACGUGCCAGCAGCCGCGGUAAAACGUAGGAGGCAAGCGUUAUCCGGAUUCACUGGGCGUAAAGCGCGUGCAGGCGGUGCGGUAAGUUGGGCGUGAAAUCUCCCGGCUCAACUGGGAUAGGUCGUCCAAUACUACCGUACUUGAGAGCAGAAGAGGAAAAUGGAAUUCCCGGUGUAGUGGUGAAAUGCGUAGAUAUCGGGAGGAACACCAGUGGCGAAGGCGAUUUUCUGGUCUGUUUCUGACGCUCAGACGCGACAGCUAGGGUAGUAAACGGGAUUAGAGACCCCGGUAAUCCUAGCCGUAAACGAUGUGAACUUGGCGUUGGUGGGUUAAACUCCAUCAGUGCCGUAGCAAACGCGAUAAGUUCACCGCCUGGGGACUACGGC